rnacentral:rRNA from 1 species
AGAGUUUGAUCAUGGCUCAGGAUGAACGCUGGCGGCGUGCCUAACACAUGCAAGUCGAGCGAUCUUCUUCGGAAGAGAGCGGCGGACGGGUGAGUAACGCGUGGGUAACCUGCCUCAUACACAUGGAUAACAUACCGAAAGGUAUGCUAAUACAAGAUGAUAUAAGAGAUUUGCAUGGAUUUCUUAUCAAAGCUCCGGCGGUAUGAGAUGGACCCGCGUCUGAUUAGCUAGUUGGUAAGGUAACGGCUUACCAAGGCGACGAUCAGUAGCCGACCUGAGAGGGUGAUCGGCCACAUUGGAACUGAGACACGGUCCAAACUCCUACGGGAGGCAGCAGUGGGGAAUAUUGCACAAUGGGCGAAAGCCUGAUGCAGCAACGCCGCGUGAGCGAUGAAGGCCUUCGGGUCGUAAAGCUCUGUCCUCAAGGAAGAUAAUGACGGUACUUGAGGAGGAAGCCCCGGCUAACUACGUGCCAGCAGCCGCGGUAAUACGUAGGGGGCUAGCGUUAUCCGGAUUUACUGGGCGUAAAGUGUGCGUAGGUGGUUUCUUAAGUCAGGAGUGAAAGGCUACGGCUUAACCGUAGUAAGCUCUUGAAACUGGGAAACUUGAGUGCAGGAGAGGAAAGUGGAAUUCCUAGUGUAGCGGUGAAAUGCGUAGAUAUUAGGAGGAACACCAGUAGCGAAGGCGGCUUUCUGGACUGUAACUGACACUGAGGCACGAAAGCGUGGGGAGCAAACAGGAUUAGAUACCCUGGUAGUCCACGCCGUAAACGAUGAGUACUAGGUGUCGGGGGUUACCCCCCUCGGUGCCGCAGCUAACGCAUUAAGUACUCCGCCUGGGGAGUACGCUCGCAAGAGUGAAACUCAAAGGAAUUGACGG